rnacentral:rRNA from 1 species
AUUGAACGCUGGCGGCAGGCCUAACACAUGCAAGUCGAGCGGAGCGGCGGACGGGUGAGUAAUGCCUAGGAAUCUGCCUGGUAGUGGGGGAUAACGUACGGAAACGGGCGCUAAUACCGCAUACUAUCAGAUGCGCCUAGGUCGGAGUAGCUAGUUGGUGGGGUAAAGGCCUACCAGGGCGACGAUCCGUAACUGGUCUGAGAGGAUGAUCAGUCACACUGGGACUGAGACACGGCCCGAACUCCUACGGGAGGCAGCAGUGGGGAAUUUUGGACAAUGUGGGAAACCCUGAUCCAGCAAUCCCGCGUGUGCGAUGAAGGCCUUCGGGUUGUAAAGCACUUUUGGCAGGAAAGCGGUACCUGCAGAAUAAGCACCGGCUAACUCCGUGCCAGCAGCCGCGGUAAUAC